rnacentral:tRNA from 1 species
GGUCGAUGCCCGAGUGGUUAAUGGGGGCGGACUGUAAAUCCGUUGGCUGACGCCUUUGGGGGUUCGAAUCCCUCUGCC